rnacentral:lncRNA from 10 species
CUGGUGGCCUCGGUUUUCAUGAUGAAAUAGGCUAGGCCAUGUGCUGACAGAGUGACUUAAGAAGAAGAGUGAAGGCUUGGUGUGAGCACCAGGCAGAAUGGGAGAGGAGACGCCAGCCAAGGUGUAUUCAGACCAUCAUACAUCAUUUUAUGGAAGAAAAAGCCUGACACUUUCAUUGGCAAAUAAAUCCUGGAGCUCUGAGUACUGGGAAGGACCUAAGAGGUCAGCUCAUCCAUCUUCACAUCUCUGGGCAGCUCUGCACUGAAAAUCCAUCCCCUAAAUGCAGCUGUCUAGUGGUUUCCCUCACUAUUCUCUAAGGAAGCUACCUUCCUGACCUUCUUUGAUAAGCCAUUUUAGUAUCUUAGUAGAAAGCAUGAAAUUGUUACUAAAGCACCUGCAGUGCAGUAGGGUUACGAAAUUGGAGCACAAAUGGAGUUAGGAGGCUGGACUCUGAGACCAGAACAACCUGGGU